rnacentral:rRNA from 1 species
GAUGAACGCUGGCGGCGUGCUUAACACAUGCAAGUCGAACGAAGCAUUUACGACAGAUUUCUUCGGAUUGAAGUUGUUUAUGACUGAGUGGCGGACGGGUGAGUAACGCGUGGGUAACCUGCCUUGUACUGGGGGAUAGCAGCUGGAAACGGCUGGUAAUACCGCAUAAGCGCACAAUGUUGCAUGACAUGGUGUGAAAAACUCCGGUGGUAUAAGAUGGACCCGCGUCUGAUUAGCUAGUUGGUGAGAUAACAGCCCACCAAGGCGACGAUCAGUAGCCGACCUGAGAGGGUGACCGGGCCACAUUGGGGACUGAGGACACGGCCCAGGACUCCUACGGGAGGCAGCAGUGGGGAAUAUU